UUAAUUUCAUUUUUCUAUAUUCAUUUGAAAAAAAAAGAAAAGAAAAGAAAAGUAAAGAAAAGGAAAAAAAGAAAACAAAACAAAAAGAAAAAAAAAAGAGAAAACGAAAAUAGAAGAAAGAAAGAAAAGAAAAUGAAAGAAAAAAAUAGAAAAAAAAGAAAAGAAAAGCAAAAUAAUUAAAAAGAAAAGAAAAGGGUAACGUGAAAAAAAAGAAGUUGGUGACAGAAGGGGAAUCUUCCAAAACACACACACAUUCCCCUUCACCACACCAUUCUCCCAUGACCCGAAACCACCCUGGCUUCCUUACCAUUUUCUCAUUCUCGAUUCCAUGAC
rnacentral:lncRNA from 1 species